UCCUUUUGUGCAUCAUCAUCAUCAUGCAUAUCAUCUACAUGACUUUGACAAAAUAAAACCUAUUUAGUUUUCUGUUGUAUGGAUUUAUGAAACAAACCCACCCUCGAGUCUCUUCUUAUUUAACAAAACCCCAAAUCUAAAUGUUUGACAGAGUUAGAAAAUUGUUUUAAGUCCAAUGCAAAGUUUCCAAAAUGUUGACCAUUUUAUCUUUUCUGAAAACAUCUCUCCGUUUCACUUUUCUACUGUAUCUCUCUUUCCUUGCUUUGGACAAAAUCCCACGGUUAAUUUUUUCAAGCGAGGCUGCCUACACUUCCGGCUGAAUUCUCACAUGGACCAUCUUACCAAUCCAGGGAAGAGACUCCUGUAGCCUUCUUCAACACGCGAGGAGCAUGAGCUCACUGUCAACAUCAACCUCUCAACCAUCCCAACCACUCCCCUCUCCCCUCCUGUUUAUCCCCACCGAAGCAGCCAUCAAACCCUAGCCCCUCUCCAUCCUCGUGCCGCCGCCCCCUCCCUUUUCCCUCGACCACGCAAACGAGCGAGGCGAAAAUUUCACAGAAAACACCGAACACCUCCGCCGCAGCAUCACCGUCGCCCCGUCGUCUCCGACCACCUCUCGCCGAACCAAGGCCACCACGAGCUUCUCCUCAUCACGCUGAAGCUCCUCGACACACGCGCGCAACAAAUCGAGUUUGAAAUCGACGACAAGGAUCACUUCUCCAUCUCCGCCGCCGGCAGAAAUCUCGUGUUUCCGGCCGCCUCCGACCUCGUCCGCCACCGACGAGGUGUUCAUCAGCUUUCUGUUCAUCUCCGCCAUGGCCGACGACAGGCCUCAGCGCCGCACGCGCUCGUUCCUGCCGGCCUUCUUCCCGGUAGUCGACCACGUCUUCUCUGCUCUGGUCGCAUCAUUCCCGUUCUCGCAUUUGCUUCUUCCCGGAUAGGAUCGCGAAGUGGUGAUGUGAGAUCCGAC